UCGCGUUUCUAGGUGAGCUAUGAAAUUUGUUUUUUUUAUUUAUAUCCGAAAACCCCUUCCGAACUUAUGACAGUAAAAAAAUUUCCUUUUCACGGGCUAUACGGGGCCAUAGCUGGACAAGAUGAGGCAACUCAAACCAACCAAAAUGCAUGCAUCCUCGGUCAGACACUGCACGCACAUGCAUGUACGCUGCACCGCACAGCUCGCCUCGCCUCGCCCGCUCGGAAGCGACAGGUGAAUUUAGCAAGAAGAAUAUCGAUCCAAUCAGGAGAGACGAAUGCACGGAUCUAGCGGAGCGGAGAAAAGGGGGGCGAGAUGUAGGCGGCGUCCGGCCGUCGUACGAGCGGCUUUGAGCUGUCGUCGUUUCCGCGGUUCGCGCGGCCCCGCCCGCUCCGGAGGCAAUCAUUUGCGCUAGCUAGCUGCAGCGACGGGGAGAGGGAGCCGGCCGGUCGCCGGUGUACGUGCGGCCACCGAAGCUGGACGCGAUCGAUCGCUUUAAUUUGCAUGCGCAUCUGGACCCGGCCCUCAAUCAGGUCGCCAUCCAUCGAUAGAUUUGCUGCUGCUGCUAGGAUCGAUCGAUUGGAUAGGAUCUGUGCAGGCAGCUGGUCGAGGCCGCCGGGGGGAUGAUUCGCCGUACUUGCUCCAUCUCCAUUGACCGGAUAUCGAUGGAUGGAUGGAUGGAUCAACAAACAACAAGGGGAUUGGAGCUAAUUAAGCCUUCUUUCUCUCUCUGUCUCUCCAUGAAGGCCGGCCCCGGGCUCAGGCUGUUGUGCCGACACCUGAGGGGACGGCGGCAGCGACAGUAAGUCGAUCGCCAGCAGUACGCCUGGUUGUAGUUAACUGAUUAUUAAUUCCUUCCGGCACUUCUAGGAAAGCUGCAGCGCUGUAGGCAUGGAUGUUGCGAGCUACUGCUCCAUCAGUCAUAAAACAAGUCUCUUCUUUUUUAAGUAUUUGGAUAUAAUUUUUGACUCUUUUAUCUUAUUUGAAUUUUUUUCGAUUAAUAUAUAUUGUUAUUAUACGAUAAAUCAUGACUAAUACUUUACGUGUG
rnacentral:lncRNA from 1 species